UACGUAGGCAGCGAGCGUUGUUCGGAGUUACUGGGCGUAAAGCGUGCGUAGGCGGUGGACCAAGUCUGGUGUGAAAUCUCCCGGCUCAACCGGGAGGGUGCGCCGGAAACUGGUUGGCUGGAGUGCGGGAGGGGCAGGCGGAAUUCCAGGUGUAGCGGUGAAAUGCGUAGAUAUCUGGAGGAACACCCGUGGUGUAGACGGCCUGCUGGACCGCGACUGACGCUGAGGCACGAAAGCGUGGGUAGCAAACAGG
rnacentral:rRNA from 1 species